rnacentral:rRNA from 1 species
UAAGGAAUAUUGGUCAAUGGACGCAAGUCUGAACCAGCCAUGCCGCGUGAAGGAUGAAGGUCCUCUGGAUUGUAAACUUCUUUUAUAAGGGACGAAAAAAGGGAAUUCUUUCUCACUUGACGGUACCUUAUGAAUAAGCACCGGCUAACUCCGUGCCAGCAGCCGCGGUAAUACGGAGGGUGCAAGCGUUAUCCGGAUUCACUGGGUUUAAAGGGUGCGUAGGCGGGUAUUUAAGUCAGUGGUGAAAUCCUAGAGCUUAACUCUAGAACUGCCAUUGAUACUAUUUAUCUUGAAUAUUGUGGAGGUAAGCGGAAUAUGUCAUGUAGCGGUGAAAUGCUUAGAUAUGACAUAGAACACCUAUUGCGAAGGCAGCUUACUACGCAUAUAUUGACGCUGAGGCACGAAAGCGUGGGGAUCAAACA